GUGCUCGCUUCGGCAGCACAUAUACUAAAAUUGGAGCAAUACAGAGAAGAUUAACAUGGCCCCUGCGCAAGGAUGACACGUGAAUUUGUGAAGCGUUCCAUAUUUUU
rnacentral:snRNA from 1 species